UCUGGCUCUAGCUUCAAUGGCACAAAGGACUGUCCUCAAGGUUGAUAUAACAUGCCUAAAAUGCAAAAAGAAGCUUCUCAAGGCAGUAACUGGCCUAGAAGGUGUGGAUAAAAUUGAAGUUGAUGCAGCCAAGGGAACUUUGACAGUAACAGGAAAUGCAGACCCUUAUGACAUAAUAGUCCGGUGCAGAAGAGCCGGCAAGUUUGCUGAGGUAGUGACCGUCGGGCCUCCUCCGGCUCCAACUAAACCGAAAGAAGAUGAGAAAAAGAAGCAGGAGGAGAAGAAACCAGUAGUCCAAAAGGAUCAACUUCCCUAUUAUAUGUAUCAACCCCAUAUUAUCAUGAUGCAGCCCCCUUGUUACGAGCCGAACCCGUCCUGCUCUAUCAUGUGAAUCAUUCGCCGAGUUUUCUGUAUCGGAACCGCCGAUACUAAGCUCGAUGAGCUCCGAUUCCUCGCCGACGCCGUCCGAUCCAACCUCGCCGCAUUCUCCUCAUCUUCCUCAUCCAAGGUCGAAGUCACCGUCGUCGAUGUCUCCGUCGGCCGGAACGACUCCGGCUCCGGUUCCGCUCAUAACGUAACCGAUUUCGCCUUCGUUUCGAGGAACGGGGUCCUCCGCAGCGACUCCGAAGCGGCGGAUCAGCUGCCGGAGGACAGAGGCGAAGCGGUGGACGUGAUGAGCAAGGCGCUGGGGGUUUUCCUAACGAAGUCGCAAAACGACGGCGUUUUGGCUGGUGCGAUAGGCGUCGGAGGCAGCGGAGGCACGGCUCUGAUAUCGCCGGCGCUGAGGUCGCUCCCGAUCGGAGUGCCGAAGGUUAUUGUGUCCACGGUGGCGAGUGGCCGGACGGACCAUUAUGUAGGGACCUCGGAUUUGGUGCUGUUCCCGUCGAUUGUGGACGUGUGUGGGAUUAAUAGCGUGAGCAGGGUCGUAUUGAGCAAUGCUGCGGCUGCGUUUGGAGGGAUGGUGAUUGGGAGAGUUGAGAGGGGAGAGAGUGGUGGUGAGGGUGGGAAGUCAACGGUGGGGUUGACCAUGUUUGGGGUUACUACUAGUUGUGUGAAUGCUGUGAAGGAGAGACUGGAGAAGGAAGGGUAUGAGACUCUGGUGUUUCAUGCUACUGGGGUUGGAGGUAGGGCCAUGGAGUCUCUGGUGAAGGAGGGGUUUAUAAAGGGUGUUUUGGAUAUCACAACGACAGAGGUUGCAGACUAUGUGGUUGGAGGUGUCAUGGCUUGUGAUGCUUCUCGCUUUGAUGCCACUUUAGAGAAAGGUAUACCUUUAGUCCUGAGCGUCGGAGCUUUGGAUAUGGUAAACUUCGGAGCUAAAGAUACCAUACCAUCCAAUUUUCAGAAGAGAAAGAUUCAUGAACACAAUAAGCAGGUUUCAUUGAUGAGAACUACAGUAGAUGAAAGCAAGAAAUUUGCUAGCUUCAUAGCAGACAAACUGAACAAGUCAUCAUCAAAGGUUGUUGUGUGCCUGCCACAAAAGGGUGUCUCUGCUUUGGAUGCACCAGGGAUGUCCUUUUAUGAUCCUGAGGCCACUGCUACUCUGAUAAAUGAACUUAAGAGUCUAAUUCAGACAAAUGAAGAUCGACAGGUAAAGGUGUACCCUCAUCAUAUAAACGACCCUGAGUUUGCAAAUGCAUUGGUUGAUUCAUUUUUAGAGAUUAGUAAGAAGAGUCAUCUGCAGUCUACUCCGCAAGUUGCUUCUCCUGAGCCCAGUCAACAGGUUCAUGAAAGUUCUGUUGCCCAGAUAAACUUCUCAAGUUAUGAAACGAAUCCACGCAGCCUCAGUGAUUUCCCAGGAGCUAAACCAGAAACUUUGCAAAGAACAUGGGCGAUACUACAGCAACUAAGGGAUCAAAUAAAUAAAGGAAUACCAAUUAUAGGGGCUGGGGCAGGGACAGGUAUAUCUGCAAAGUUUGAGGAAGCUGGUGGAGUGGACCUAAUAGUGUUGUACAAUUCAGGGCGCUUUCGCAUGGCAGGAAGAGGUUCAUUAGCAGGCUUAUUGCCUUUUGCUGAUGCAAAUGCUGUAGUUCUUGACAUGGCUAAUGAAGUUUUACCAGUGGUGAAGAAGGUACCUGUUCUUGCUGGAGUAUGUGGGACUGAUCCUUUUCGCCGAAUGGAUUUCUUCCUGAGGCAGGUGGAGUCAAUUGGAUUCUUUGGGGUUCAAAAUUUUCCAACUGUUGGAUUAUUUGAUGGUAAUUUUAGACAAAAUCUUGAAGAAACCGGAAUGGGAUAUAGAUUGGAGGUUGAAAUGAUUGAAAAAGCACAUAAAAUGGGUCUGUUGACAACCCCAUAUGCUUUUAAUGAAGAUGAAGCUGUGGAAAUGGCAAAAGGUGGUGCUGAUAUUAUAGUCGCUCAUAUGGGACUCACUACAGCUGGCUCUAUAGGGGCAAAGACAGCUGUUUCGCUUGAGGAAAGUGUAGUUCGUGUACAAAAUAUUGCAGAUGCUGCACAUAGGAUCAAUCCCAAUGCUAUUGUGCUCUGCCAUGGUGGCCCCAUCUCUAGCCCAAAAGAGGCAGAAUUUGUUCUUAAGAACACCAAGGGGGUUCAUGGCUUUUACGGCGCAUCGAGCAUGGAGAGGCUACCUGUUGAACAAGCUAUAACCUCCACAAUGCAACAGUACAAAUCAAUCUCUUUCCACUGAAGUAUGUUCUUUUCACAAUGCCCAUUGCUUCAUUCUCUUGCUCUUUUCAGUCCUUUACUGUCAUAUUAGCUUGAUUUAAUCAUAAUAUAAAAGAAAAACUUAGAAUCUGGUUUUCUGAUAGAUAUGAUGUCAACAUACUUGUUUACUCAUUUCAACAAUGAGUGUACUAUUAUAUGAUCCGAUCCAUGUUGAAUUAUGUAUGCAUCAAUAA